GCUUCGGGAGCAGAUGGCCGCGCUUAUUGGCGUAGUGCGGCAGCAGGCGCAAUCCGUUCAGCGCCAAGCGGAAUCCGUUCAGCGCCAAGGGGAGCAAAUCCAAAGGCUCCAGGAGGCCUUGGAACGGUAGCAGGCGGCGGCGGCGCCCGUGGAAGCCGUGCACCCUGUGCCCCCUGCAGUGGUGCCGAGUGCGGCCGAGGGUGUGGCCGCGGCGGCCGUGCCAGUUACGAUGGUGCCGGCUGGAUCGGGGACCUCAAACCCCGAUAGUGCGGCGGAGGAGGCGGAGUGGGAGCGCGCGUUGGCGGCUCUCAUUCAGUUUCAGAAGUUCAA
rnacentral:lncRNA from 1 species